CCAAUAGCGUAUAUUAAAGUUGUUGCAGUUAAAAAGCUCGUAGUUGAAUUUCGGGAUUGGCGCAUCGGUCGUGCCUUACGGGGUAUGAACUGGUGCAGUCAAUUUCUCACCUUCUGGAGAACCGCGAUGUCCUUAAUUGGGUGCCGCGGGGAACCAGGACCUUUACUUUGAAAAAAUUAGAGUGUUUAAAGCAGACAUUUUUGCUGGAAUACAUUAGCAUGGAAUAAUAAAAUAGGACGGCAUGGUUCUAUUUUGUUGGUUUCUAGGACCACCGUAAUGAUUAAUAGGGAUAGUUGGGGGCAUUAGUAUUCAAUUGUCAGAGGUGAAAUUCUUGGAUUUAUUGAAGACUAACUACUGCGAAAGCAUUUGCCAAGGAUGUUUUCAUUAAUCAAGAACGAAAGUUAGGGGAUCGAAGACGAUCAGAUACCGUCGUAGUCUUAACCAUAAACUAUGCCGACUAGGAAUCAGACGAUGUUAAUUUUUUAAUGACUCGUUUGGCACCUUACG
rnacentral:misc_RNA from 1 species